CCAGCUCCAAGAGUGUAUAUUAAAGUUGUUGCGGUUAAAAAGCUCGUAGUUGAACUUCUGUAAUUAGAUUGAUAAAUAGGGUUAAAUCUAAAUAGCGAUACUGAAUACAUUUUUUGAUCGUGGCAACACGCAUCAUAGGUUACUUUGAAAAAAUUAGAGUGUUUAAAGCAAAAUUCAUACUUUUGAAUAAUACAGCAUGGGAUAACGAAAGAUGUCAUUAACUAAAUUUGUUGGUUUCUUGGGUAAAUGAAAUGAUUAAAAGGGACAGUUGGGGCCGCUCAUAUUAGGUGGGAAGGGGUGAAAUCCUAUGAUCCAUCUAAGAUGAACUAAUGCGAAAGCAUUCGGCAAGGAUGUUUUCA
rnacentral:rRNA from 1 species